rnacentral:rRNA from 1 species
UACAGAGGGGGCAAGCGUUAUUCGGAAUUAUUGGGCGUAAAGGGCGCGUAGGCGGCCAUUCAAGUGACGGGUGAAAGCCCUCGGCUUAACCGAGGAACUGCCUGUCAGACUGGAUGGCUUGAGACCGGGAGAGGUGAGUGGAAUUCCCAGUGUAGCGGUGAAAUGCGUAGAUAUUGGGAGGAACACCGAUGGCGAAGGCAGCCCCCUGGGGUAACACUGACGCUCAUGCACGAAAGCGUGGGGAGCAAACAGG